AAAUGUGAGAGGCGAAAGAAAUACCAUGCAACUCAUUCCUCUUAUGUGAAAAGGACAAUGUAUUGGCAUGGCAUCAAGCCGAAACGAAUCGAUGCAAUCAUUUCCAUCCCGGAUAUUUUCUAUGGACAGGUGAAACUCACAAAAAGGAGUGCUUUUACAUGUACAAGAAACGCACACGACACCCGACCUCUGUAACAGAAAAAACUGUACAUGCUAUGUACUUGCAAUCCACCUGCAGUCGCUCUGAAGAGCUAACCAACUCCAAAAUGUUCACGCCAUCGUCAAGAAGCUGAGAUCAGCGUGUUUUUCAACUUGUGCGCUACGAAUGCCGCCGCCCGCUGGCAGGAUUUACAGGACCAGUCGGUGGAGGAGGAGAUGACGAUGGUAGACGGACCAGGGCGGGUUGAGGCGAGGGCGCCGCCGUGAGGGCAUAGGUGAGCCUUGAAGAUGAGCUCUCAAUAAGCCCUGCAACUCCGGCAGCAGAAGUUUGUGCGUUGGAUGGAAGGAACAGGUCAUGUUUCUGGUCUUUGUAAGCGCUCCAUACCUGCGAAAGGCAGAAAAAAGAUCUUAAUUAACUAACUAGAGUUCUUGUUUACUGCCGAGUGAGUUGCUUCAUCAAUGAUCUACUCCUGCAAUUUCAUAAGCUAAUAUGAACCGUAGAGUUCUAUAGACUCACAUCAGAGGAAUUAAGGAUUUCUCGAACUUUAGCACAGUGAGCGCCUUCCGUUGCAAAAGCAUGAAGUACCUGUUUAGAUAAAACAAAACAAAAAACAAGUACAUCAAAUAUUAUCAACAAAACACAAGCCGUAGAGGCUAUUCAAGUAUUAAGAAAUUGAAUUUUCAAACGACUCAAACCUAAAAUGCAUAAAUACCACAACGAGGCCUUGACAGGAUCCAAGGAUUGCACCCUCUUAUAUCAUGCUUUAACUACUCAAUAGUCAGGAGACUAAUGCUCUGAAGACUUGACGACACGAAAUGUAGUUCAGCCAAUUCUUUGGGCAAACACUUGAUUUAUUUUCAGGUCAAAUAUUUCAGGGCAAUCUUACACUCAUACCACCCAGUACACAAAACAAGCAAAAUGGAAGAUGCACUUUGGACAUCAGCUCCCUAGAGACUGUCUAUGAUCAAACCAAUUCUCUUUUGAUUGCAUCUAACUGCUCAGUGCAAUAGCAAGAUUUAGCUAAAAUGCUACCCAGAAUAUGAUGCUUACCUCCACUGCUAGUACACGCCCAAUUGAAGCCUCUGAUUCAUUCCACUUCAUUUGGUUACAGAGUCCCUGCCUUCCACCAGCUCGCCAGUCAAGAAUGCCAAGGAGCACAUCAACAAGACCAACCCUAUUUUGGUUCGUAGUAAAUACAGAGUAAAAAAAUAGUUAUUGAGCUGUUUUCACUGAAAAACAGUAGCUCUACCACUGCAGUGACUAACAAGAUGAAGCAAGUAGACACUGGUAGUGGUUGGUCCUGGUUAGGAUUCCUUUUCAUUCAAAAAAAGUCUCAAUAUAUUGCAAAUGAUGGUUAUUUAGACAAAAGGUGUAUUCCAAAGUCUAACCAGAAGAAAAACAAUACAAGUUAAUAUGUUUUAGUUCUGUAAAAUGUCAAAAGAAUGGGGUAAAGGCAGAUGCUGAGAUGCUGCAGAAUACCUAAUUUUCCAAUCAGAAAAAAAUAGCUAUAUUGAACAAGUUUUGAUCAGAAAGGUUUUCAACAUAAAUGGAACCCACUAAAUGCAAAUGUUUCAUAAAUUACCAGGUGCAUCCUUUAAAGUUGCAUAUUCACGCAAGUCUGCCCUCUAACAAUAUAUAGCACCAAAGCAUUGAAUAGUGAUUGUUGAAGGCCACUUCAAAUUUACGAAAUUAAAUGAUACUCCCCCGUAAAGAAAUAUAAGAGCGUAGUGAUCUAAACGCUCUUAUAUUUCUUUACGGAGGGAGUAUUUGGGAAAUGGAAUGUUCUAUUCUAUAUUUAAAGACCGAGCAGCUUACUUUAACCCCUGUGCAACAAGCGCGUCUCUAGCUCGAUUACCAGCGCCAACAACACGCUUUAGUGUCUCUAAUGCCAGUAUACUUCCACCUUGCCAUCCAAUUGCUUUCAUAAGCAGUGCAACAACCUGCAAGGUAGUUCAAGAAAUAGAUCACGAUGGGCCCUUAGAUGCCAUUUAUGAAAAGAUGUGCUACGCCAAUCAUAUUGGAUUUCCUCUUCUGGCUUCUCCCCCAUAAGUUCUACAGAAUUCAAACUAUAAAGGCAAACAUCUUGUAAAUUUAAGAGAUAAAUAGUUAUUGUUGAAGCGACGCCAGAAAAGGAAUUUUCAGUCAUAAUUUCUUUAAACACCAAGGUUCACACUGAACUUAGUAUUAUCAAGCUUUGUCACCAAACGUUUUCAGAUGAAGUCAAAUUACAUUAGUGGCCAUGCUGCUGUAUCAGCAAAAAAGAUCAAUAUGCAAUGUUCCCCUCAAGAGUCAUAACAAACACAAAUAAGUUCAUUAUAAUUUAAUACCUGAGGAGUUCCUGCACUUGUUGCCGCCAUAGCUUCAGCACAAGUGGUGCUAGACGCCAGCUGAUGUAGUACUCGCAAACAACUAAGGCGAACCCUCUCUUGUGGAGUCUGCACAGUGGUCUCAGGGACACCAUCAGAGUUAUCGUGCUCAAUAGGUUCUGCUUGCACUCUACUUGUGUCCUGUCCAGAUGCCAUAGUCUCCCUUCUUCCCUCAUAAGCCAUAGCUGCAACCAGCUUUGGAACAUAACCUAGGUAACCAACAUGGUCUGCAAGUGCCGGAUGAACACGCAACAAAGAAACAAGUGCGGCAGAAAGCAGCAAAGGAAGUUCUGGAUCAACAGCAUUUGCUUCAUAGUGGGUAGCAGCAACUGAAGAAACAUACUGAUCUAGGAGCCCUUCAAGGAAUCUUUUAGGGUUUCUCAGUGGAAACUUGGGAUCCUUUAGGAAAAGUCUCACAUAUAUUCCACCAACCUGAAAUUUGCACAGCAUGAUAAUACCUAAGCCAAUGUUAUGAAAUGCAGAUACCAGAAUAAUUCUAGAACAAGCACUAUACCUGUGGUUCAUCCUUCAUUACAUGUUGGCCAGAGGCUUGUUCCGGCACAUCCCAAUCAACAAGACGUCCUUUCAUCUGCUCUUGGUAAAGGUCUGCCGCCAUGGUAGACAGCUGCGCAGAAAGAGAAGCUGCCAUUGCAGGUGUCCAUACAAGUUCAGGAGUUUCUGUUGUCUGUUCAAGAGAUGAAACAACAGCUUCACCAGGUCCAUCUCUAAUUGCAGAAACCAAACCAUCGGGCAAGAAUCUAGCAAGCGUGAUGGCCACCCUGGGACCAUGCAUCGGCUGCCCAGCAAGUUUGCCCAAUAAGGAUGCAGCUGCAGCUCUUUGCUGCAUAGGGAUUUCCUCUACAUGAUAUAAACUAAGUGAGUAAUAUGUUGUGCAUAAUUAGAUCUCUAAACUAGUGGUAGUUAAACAUGAAAAAACCAAUGUGAACGGUAAGAAGUUAAAAAUAGAACAAAGUUUCAUAAACACAUAUAGGAAACUUAAAGGUGGUGGAUCAGUGCAAGAUACUGGUGAGAAGUUCACACUACAUUUAAAAAAAUCAAUUAAUUAAACAUACUAUUGCUCAUCAAAUAACAGCUGGUGCCAACAAAACAGCAAGAGCAUGAAGAAUGUGAAACGUGUAAACUACACAUUAGUUUCUGAAAUAGCAACAACACCAUAGCCUCAUAUAAAUAUCUAAAUGUAGCAAAAAAUGCCAAAAUAGAGAUUGUCACCUUGAAGGGGUAACAUAAGUUCGAGAAUGUACACUACACCACCAUGCUUGGCAGCAGCCCAGGCCAACUCUGGCGUGCUGGCCAAAGAAUAGAGGACAGCAAGCGCCCCAUCCCUACAAGAAGGAUUGCAGUGUAGUAUCUGAAAUAGCAAAAUGAGACUCGUCCUUUCUGCGACCAUGGCCUCCAAACAAGGAGCAUGCUUUGUCAAGAGAGAAAGAACACUUAAACAAAUUUGUGGGAUAUUGCUUUCAGGAGGAACAGGCAGCGCAAGGCAUUCAAAUAGAGGUGUCAAUCGUUCCUUGGAAGCAAAAACAGCAGCCAAGCCUGGAUUACUUGUCAGAAGAUUCUGUAGCAAAAAGAAUGAAAAGAAAAAGUCAGAAAAUGAGCAGCAUACACAGAAAACUUGAGAAACCUGUUCCAAAAGAGUACCUGAAGCGAUGUUAACCCACUUCUGAGGUUUGUAAUAACUUCACAAUCUCCACCAGUUUCAUAUUUACUGCCUUUUUCAAAUGAAUUAUCCUCUUUUCCUUCAUUAGUUGAAUCACUGGCUCCACCAUUUUCAGUAGAUGUAUCGAUAACCGAAUCAUGUUCGUGCGUCAUAUUUUCCUCCGAAUUUAUGGAACUCCACUUUUGCACUAGACCUGCUAUAAACUUAAGAAGAGCAAUGCAAAAUCCUUCCUGAUCACUUAUUUCAUAAUCUGGUUGAUUGUUGUAAACUCUCAAGUAGACAUCACCAACAUUCAAUUCUUUUGACAAAGCUUCAUAGUUGAAAGACUGUGAUUCUGUCAAAUCAUACGAACCAUCAGGACCUUGGCUAGUUCGCUGCUGAUCUACAAACUUGAGGAGCUCUCCUCUGGUUGAAGAAUUCCAUAUGAUCUACAAACAAGAAAAAAUUCUUAAGCUAUAGAAAUCAAGUCCACACAUACAACUAAACAGUAGUAGAUUGUCGUGUAAUAAUCUCUGAAACGUGUUCAUGAAAAGCAGCUUGCAAUUGCUCACUUAAAGCAAUGUGUAAACUAGUGAAGCCAUCAUCAGAUAUAUAUAGAACCAAACUGUAGUAGAUUUUUCGAAAGUUACUCCUUCCAUUUGUAACUAGAUUACCUUUCAUACAGUCUCCAAGAUGCAAUUUUGGCCACUACUUUCCAUACGAAUAUUUUAGUACAAACUAUCAAAUUGUCAUAUUAUGGAAAUAAUUUUCAUGACAUUUAUAACAAUAUUGUUUUUACUUAACUAAUCUAAAAAAUAUUACAAGUUAAAUGUAGAGAAGUUUAACAGCAUACACUCAAGGAAGUCGUCCAUUUGCGAACUGACGUAGUACAUAAGUAGUGAAAUACUCCCUCCGUUCACAAAUAUUAAAUAUUCUAACUUUUUUCUGAAUCGGAUAUGUAUAUACACGUUUUAGUGGGUUUGGUCACUCAUUUCAGUCCGUAUGUAGUCCAUGUUGAAAAAUCUAAUGCAUCUUACAUUUUUGAACGGAGGAAGUAGUUUAUAAUUGCUCCCUAUGAAGCAAUUGCGUGGUUGAUUAAAUAAACAACAACAUCACUACUCAGAAUGUGCAUCUGUUUAUACCCGUAGAGAACAUCACUUCCAUAGCUAAUUAAUAUCAAGUCGGGACUAGAGACUAAGUAAGACUAUGAAACUGCUCUUGCUACAUCUUUGAAGCUAGAGCCACUGUCAUGGAAUUCACUAAGUCCAGUGAGGUGUACCCACGUGUGCAUGGAUUAUGUGCCAGUAAUAAUAAUAGUAAAGUAGUAAGCUUAGCAAAUUGCCUAAUAUACAAUUGAACAGAGAACCUAUUACCUCUGGUGACUCCAAGUUUGAAUUCAGAUUUGAUAAUAGAUCUUUGGGUGGCCGGUUUCUCAGCAUGUCAGCAAGCUUGGGAGUAAGAAGUGCUCUUAAUGUAUUGAAAGCAGGAAGGUUAGAUGGGCUUGAUGUUCCGUCACCACCAAGACCACAAAGCUUUGACAAAGCCUGAGCUGCAUGUACUGCAUGAAGAUUUUUGGCAAUCUGCACCCUUGCCCCAACACCAUGUGAUUCAUUUGUCUCAUUCUCUUCUGCUGUCGAAUCGUAUUGAAGCAGUAAGGGCAAGACAAACCUGCAAAAACAUUUGAAUAUGUCACUGCUAUGGCUUCACAUUACCUACUUUUUUGCUAAUGUAUAUGUCAAUUUGAUUCAGUCAAGUAUGAUAUGUACAGAAUUCGUUCAGUACUAACUCCAUGUUACUAUAGCUUCUUUUCUUUUAGAGAGAGGAGGGAAUCAUCAUAUUAUAAUAGCAAUAGCAAAAAGAUGGCAGGACAGUACCAUAAAAAGCCAGCGGCAAGCAGAGCAUUUUGCAGUUCAGAUGAAACUGAAACAUUAGCAGCUGUCUGCAGAGCAGCAUCCACAGCCGAUGGAACAAAUUCAAGUUCUGUACAGUGCACAAUAUCCUCAACAAGGCCAGCAAACUUAAGAAUCUCAACUCUUCCUGACUCAAACAAGCUGAGCGCUGAAAAUGUGUGCAUUAUAUUGGUGACUAUUUUUGCCGCUGGUUCGUGUGCCGGAGUUGUGGGCUGAACGAUGCACAUGCAACGUGAAAGCAGUGUUGCCAACAACGGGAUACCGCUGUCUCGUAUAAGCUCUUCUCCAUUUAGUGAAGAUGAUGAACAUCUGGCAGCAGAUGAGAAGAACAUGAGAGGCAAUGAAAAUAAACAGUUUCUGAAAAAAUAUAUAAACAUAGCUAAACUAAGUUUCUUUUAGCUUACGUCAGCCAAAUCAGCUCUGAAGCGGCUAUCAAAAGAGGGGCUCUAUCAGAUGAAAGGAAAUUGCUAUCAUCCUUGUCUACAGUAACUGCAUUUAGCAACAUAGGAUAGCCAGCAUAUUUGAAUGGUUCCAAGACAUGUCCAUAUCUCUUGUACAAGAUACACUGUGCCUUAAGUAAGAGUAUCAGCCUCCAGAGCUGUGGUCCCUGCAAUCCUUGCAUACUUGCCUGCAUACAUAGAUAUUGCAUUCACAGUAAAUAUCUUUAAAAGGACUCAAUGUCAAUAGUCAAACACUGUGGGAAUAAUCUUAACAGUACUCAAUGUUUAUUCACAUGUUCCCUUUUGCCUUACUCCAAUUUGUAGGGCGAAUGUUACAAGGUGGAAAAUGAUUUGUGAAGUGCACAGAAGAAAUCUGCUCAUACAGUUACCCCAAUAAAAGAAAAGGACGGACCAAAUAAGAAUAAGAAACAAAAAGAGAAGGCAAAACAUGGAGAACAGCUUAAUCAAAUUCAACAAGCAAAUGCUUUUCCAUACACAAUUAUAAUUUAGAUUUAGAGAUCUUCCGCAGGAGAAAACUUAAAGCUAAGAAAAAAAGAAACACCUACUUCCUUAGAAAGGAUAACCUGAGAUUUACUACACUCGUUUUAUGUUGCUAGCAAUCCUCCUCGAAAAAUUACUCUAUACUAAAAAUGAUCCAGUUAUAACUCCAUAUAACUAACCCGUCUAUCAUUUUAUUUAUGGUGCCUCCAAUUUAAUUAAUUAAUUUAACUAUAAGAAAUCAAGCAUACCAAAGGUGGCAUGGUGUCAACAGUCAUAGAAACAAUGGAAUACCUGCAAUCGCUCGUAAGCCUUUUGCACAGCAACAAACUUUUCUCUUCCCUCAGGGUUCUUGUCUGGAUGGUAUUUUAUUGCCAGCUUCCGGUAUUGGCGCUUAAGCUUCUCUUCGUCGAUGUUUUCAAUAUUUUUUGCCAAACUGGCCAGAUUUAACUCGGAUGACUUUUUGCUACUACCCUUCUCGCCAAUUACAAGAUCAUCAAGAGUAAUCUCCAGUAUCUUGCAGGCUUCUUCUUCAGACAAAUCCAUUGGACGGCGAGUUAACUCUUCACGCCACAUUGCCAGUAGUGACUGCAAAAACUCUACGUGUUCAACGAUGGGCCAGUUAGGAAACCUGAUUUCAUCACAUAGGUUCCGAAGGUAGUAACGAUGGCACCACAUCUCAUCUUUCAGAUUCGGGUAGGUCACAGGUGGCAUAGGAGCAUAAUCAUACAAUGAAUGGCAAUGUUGAGCCAAUUUCUGAGAAAAAUCACCGAGAUGCUGCAGGACCUAAGAAAACAAGUAGAACGCAAAAAAGUAUUUGAAAGUAAGAUUAAAAUCCAGAAAUUUCAAAGCAAAUGUCUUAAAAAAAUAGCAAUGAAGGCUACACAGGCAAAAUACCUGACGAAUAAGAUGUUCUGCCCUCAUUUUGUGGGUCCAUAUAAUCUCUGGUGUGUCAGAAUCAGACACCAUUGCGGCAGCAAAAGCAGAAGGACCACUACGUUCUAAGACAUACAGCAGUGAUUCUGGGAGCAGUCCACCUAGUACACUGCGCUUUGCCAAAGGCAAUGAUGAAGAUACUGCAGCCUCUUCACCGCCAUGAAAGGCUUGAUGAGUAUGUGUGGCCGAAAAAAGUUGUGCGAUUGAUAGAAGGUUUGAACCAGGGUAUGCCAAUGCAAAGUAAAAGGCACCAGUACUAUAUAAUCGAAUCAUAGCUUUGGGGUUUCUUGUGACAAUAGCCUUAAGCAAAGAGGCAGAUACUUCAACAAUGCUUGGUUCCCCAGUAAGCAUGGCCUAUAUAUAAUUUCAAAAUGUUUUGUUUCAUCAGUGUUUGAUUGAUAAAAUGAUUCCAGAAGUAAUGAAAAAUAAGUCAACAGAAUAACUGAAGAGUUAAACCAAUUUAUCACAAUAUAAGCAUGAGGUUUACUGGUACGACAACAGCUUAUCAUAAAAACAAAGGCUAGAUCAGUAACGGUGAUAACUACGCUAACAGGUUAACUAGGGAUUUAUAGUCUGCUGGCACGUUCUGGGAUUGUUACUUCAUCUGCACACUUUGCUGUUUAGAUUAUGUUUAUCAAACAUGUUCCUAUCUGUAUCCUAGUUGCGGAUUAAGGAGUAUGUUAGUGGUAUUUUAUGGGAAUAAAUUCCCAUAUCAUGCACCUGUAUGAUCAAUAGUAUAAACAGGAUAGCUACAUAGUAUCCACUGAUGAUAGAAAACAAAGCAAACUUGAGGCUAAAAAACACCUGAGCAACAUGAGGAAGGCAUCUUGGACUUGACAAUAUACGUUUCACCCUAGGAGUUGGGGUCACUAUCUCUCCCGCAUCAUCAAGAUCAGAAUGUGCAGAUGCCAUACUGUGCAAUAUAGACAAGGCAGCAUCCGCAAUCUGCGUACAGAAAUACAUUUUCAUGAAUCAACGACAGUACAGAAAAAUUGCAUGUGGGCCGCGUGAGUGCACAUGAUCAUAAAGCUGCAGACUGAAUACCUGAGUAGAAGUCAGAACAGGUGUUCUAACAGAAAGUGCCCAACGCAGCUCUCGAAUGUCACGUAAUCUUUUCCAGUCAGACAUACUGGAGGCCCAACAUUUUGUUGUCCAAUCAAUUGACUUCUUUGACCACAGCCUUCUAAUAGCAUCCUUUUCAAGUGGACCAACUUUUGUACCAUCAUUGUCAAUAUACAUCCACUCUUUUGAAGGCUCCAUAAAUGCGGUUGAUGCAAUGAGAUUAGACUGUAGAGGAAUAGCUGUCCGCUCAGAUGCUUCAUGAGCAACAGUUAACAAAUCAACAGCCAAAACACAGCCUCCAACAAGAACACACGCUUCAACAUUUGAAAGGUCAUUCAUGAAGGCCUACAAAAAGAGGGGAAACCAAAGUGAAAUUUAUCAGCAUGGAAAAGACGCGCCACAUCAGCAAAUAACCUAUUGAUAAUUGAUCUUGAUAAGAUUGUAUAAAAUUAUUGCCCACAUUCGCUGUUCUACGGGUAUCUAAAGGUAUUAUGGAUGAUACUGAUGUGGCCAGGAAAACUCCAUGUGAAUAAAGCUCAUUGAUGUUUUCAUAUCUAGUGCAUCUUAUGUAAUCUUACCAGAUGAUAAGAUGGGAAAGAAAAACAAGGGGAGGUCAUGGUGUAGCACAACAAACCUUUAACAGAAGUAGCAAUCGGUGUCUUAAAGCCCUAUCAUCUGUUCUGUCUAAGAGAACUGUAAUAUGUGCUGUGCCAUCAAAAGGCCCAAUAACUUUGUAAUGUUGCUCAUAAACUAUAGCCAUUGCCCUUGAACAAAGCUCUCUUACUGAGGAACCUCCACCCCCACCAAACCCAUCCAACCUUCCCAUGUCACACCAAUCAUCAGAUGAACCCAGUUCAUCAGGAACUGCACCAUCCACAGUUAGACCAACAUCCGCAUCACACAAGAAACGAUGGUACAGAGCUCUAAAAAAAGCAACAGGGUCACGUAGUGGAAAAUCCUGUGCUCGGUAAUUACUUCCACUUUCAAGCAGCAACCGUAAGUAAUAUUGCCCAACACAGACUUCUUUAGACAAGCUAGGGUAGCUGACAAAAAAUUCAGCAUAGUUCCAUGAAAUUCGCGGUAAGGUGUCACUACCACCAUCAUCCUCACUUACCGAACUUCCAGGGUCAAUAUCAUCGGUUCUUUCUUUCUCAACAUCAAGGUUAUGAACUUCAGUUUGCAAUGCUUCCCUUAAUUCUUGCCUUGUGCGUUCAUUCCAUAUCAAAUCUGCUCUAUUGUGAUCUAGACCAAAUGCUCUCCAAAAUCCAAACCAAUUACAUAGUAGCCUGCCAGAUCCCACAGGAGUGUUUUCCACCACAAUCUGUGCAGGUACUGAGAAAUCUGAAUGUGAGGACUCAAUAAGGUCACCAUUAGCAGUGGGGUCCACUGAAUAAGUGUGUGAAUCCAGCUGUGGUGUUCCAAGUUGAUGAUUUUCAGAAACAGACUGAGGUACAGCACCAUGUGGAACUGCAUGAGAAGGGUCAAUACUCGUAGCAGGAGAAGGGGUGUGGGCGGUUGAGUACUGGCCGACAUGCCUCUGAUUGACAUCUGCUCCUCCAUAAGGACCCACACUGGUGUGCCUGAAGAAAUCUCCAUCAUCAACACUAUUGGGGGGCAUUCCUUGUUCUGGUGUUUCCAUGUUCUUACCACCAAGAGCCCUCCUCUGCUGAAGUAUCCGCUUCUGCCUUCUGCUUAGCGGUACUUCGUCAUACUGGUUCUGAGAAUCUUCAUCUGACCUCGUAUGAAGAUAAGCAACAAGUCCAGGAGGAAGUAUUCUGGACAGCAGAUCCAGCGCAGGUUGAUAAGAAUCAGCCCACAGAGCAACAAGCUGCCGACUAACAUCACGCCGCUCACCGGCAGGGAAGAAGAAAGCAUUUAACAAAUGCCUCAGAAGCGCACCAUCCUUCAAGGCAGCAUCACGCAUAGACUCUGCUGCUAUUGCAUCUUCCUCAGCAAUUGUACGCAUAAUAACUGAAAUGGUCUCUCUUACACUUUCAGCAGGGUGCGCAAAUAAGGCAAACAACCGACGGCGCAAACCAGCAACUUGGCGUAGUAACUCAACAAAUGUAGCAUGUUGGGUUGUUUCACCAUGGGGAUCACAAAGCAUAGCUUCAAGGAUUUCCACAACAGACAGAGAAAGUAAUGGUGAAACUGAUAAUGGCUUUAAUCUGCUAACAAGGACUGGAACAUAGAUCGGUUGUGCAAACAGUACAGACUUUGCAUGCAUGUAGGUAGCAUGGGAUUCUCCCCUCGUAUCCAUCAACAUCGAUGUAUCACCAGGACCACCACCAAUUAGCAUAGCCACAAGCCCAGCAGCCUCAGCUGCCACUCCCUCUGAGCCAUUCCUAAGCAAACCCAUUAUUCUCCCAACAGCAACAGGAAAUGCCAUCACAUGUGAUGACACACUUCUUGAUGUAAGUAGCCUCCGUAAGCAUGCAACGAACCCCAUUAUUGUCGCUGCUGCUUUUGGUGAUGGAGGCGGAAGAGGUGGAGCAUCAGCAGGAAGAUUUUGCGGGGUGGCUGGAAGAAGACUAAUUAAAGCCAUUAGGACCACCUCAGGCACUUCAAUAUUGAUGGGCACUCCGGUAUAUGGUAUACAUGCAUUAAACUCCCUUAUUCUACGCCAUAAUCUGAUUUUUGCUCCCGGAACAGUGUCAGAUGAAGCUACAGCCUCUUUCGCGACCACAGCUAAAUGUUUUACGUACAUGUUAGCAGCUUCCAUAUCAACAGUAGCAUUAUGAGGUAUCUGAAGAUGGGCAACCCCACAAGGUGGAUCUAUACGAUGACCAGGCAUAGUCAACCUUGGCAGCACUGGAAUUGCACAUUGCCUCUGCAAGCAACAAGGAGAUUAAAAUAAAGAGAAUGCUUGGCCGCAGAGAUCAAGGUGAGCAUAGUAGACAAACACAUGCAAGACGAACAUCAACUGAUAAGAAAGGAAGGCUGAAUUGUACUAUGCAUUCUAAGCAUGUGGUAGUGAUCUAUGCUAGAGGAGUAUAACUGUAGAAGAAACUCAUGUCAUGGGCACGAGAAAAAGAUAAAUCAAUUUAGUACAGAACAGAGCUACAUGACAGUUGAAUUGCUUUAAUGUUGACCAAGUAGUUAUGCAGUCAUCGGAGUGAUUUCUUUCAUGUAACACCACCACAUUAGGUGAUCAGUAACUAUACACGACAUGUGAACUUAGUAACUUACACUGUGCUAGUGAGAUUAAGUGUAUAUGUAAUGGGGCCAGGUGUGGUACAUAUCCAUGUGUUUUGUUUCACUGCACUUCUAGUGCCUAGAAAGCACUUUGGUGUUUGCACUCAGUAAUUGCUAAGCUGUAUCUUACCUACUAAUAAACCAGCGAUGGCUUCUGGUCGUACGUCGUCAGCAAUUUUGCAAAAAAGCCCUUAAAGGUUUUAGUAAUCAACCCGCAGUCUGACCGUAAGUGAAAAAACGUUUCGUACGCAGCCCAGACUCCGUCGUUAAAAUUGCUGCCCACAGGAGAACGAGGGUUCCUCCGCCGCUGCGCCCCACCCCCUGCUCUGCGAGAACGACGGUCAGCCGCGCCUCCAUCCCUUGCUCCGCGGUGCCCGUCCUCGCUCCCCGGCCCCCGAAUGCACACAAGAUCGACAGGAUCCGCCGCAUCCCUCACAAUUUUUUUCCAAAUCGAGAUCGAUGGGGAUUGACAGGGGCGACAGCGAUGGGGAGUUGGAUCUGUGUGGCGGCGUGGUGGGAGCGCGGGGAGGGGCGCUGUGGUGGUGGAGGCGACCGGCGCCGUAGAUAAGCGCUGGGGAGUUGCCGAUGCAAUGGCCGAGCGAAGGGGAGAGCCGUCGUGGUGGACGAGAAUGACCACCAUGGAUUCCUCGCCCCAAGUCAUGAUCCAGUUGCUGCCGCUCUUCGAAGUCAUCUGCUCCAUCACAUCGGCAACCUCACAGGUCACAGCCUCCCAUCUGGAACCCUGAUGUCGUUUUAGUUGCCGACACUAUGCAACGGUCCUUUUUAGUGCAAUGCUUGCUUAGCACUAAUAGGUAGAACAUUCAUCAAUCAAGCGCAUGUACCAACAUGAUGGUAGAUUUUUUAUUGGCUCUUCUCUAAUCUGCAAGUCAUAUAUUGUGGCAGCGCUGGGUAGAUUCUUAUUGGCCCGUGUUGUGGUGAAAACAUGCUGUGGCUGAUCGCUUCAUUUGCUAACAUUGAUAUAUGUAUGCUGCUGAUGGGUCCUGAACUCCUGAUAUACACUGCCUAUUGCUGCUAAAAUUAGUAUUGCUACUCAAUUUGAUAGGUAAAGUGGUAAUGGAUGGCGAGAUUUUGUAGUGCUCAUAUGCCAGUUAGUCAAUUGUCCUUUCUGUGCUGAAUUAGAGAAUAUUGCCCAUAUGUUAAUCAGCUGCUCCUUUGUAUAGUUGUCAGUUUAUGGCUCUAGGUGUAGCUUCAUUUAUGCAUAUUGGUAAUGUUGUGUUGAUUUCUUUUGGGCGGAGGUUACUUCAUCAAUGAGGGGCCGGAGGGAGAGCUUGGCAGGGCGGCAUGACGGGCUGGUCUGCACCAGCAGAACGGAGGGAGAGAUUGAAAAAGAGUGUCCGCCUGCAGUGGCACGGAAGAAGAGUUCGAAAGCAGCACGGGCGGCUGCUCUGCGGCUGGUAUUGAAGGUAGAGCUUGGCAACAGAGAAUGGGAGAGCUCUACUGCCUCGAGCAUCGCAUCCAGCCCCAAUGGCAUCAUGCCCACUUGCCCGGGUAAGCUUCUUCUCUGUUCCAAUUCUUGCACUUGUUGGUUUUUUACUUUCAGAGCUCUGGGAAAUAUCAGAUGGUGUGUGUCUUCUUUGAUGGUACAAGUAUUUUAAACUGGCACCGUCUGAUAAUAUAUGAUUGCUAUAAUGAACAAAGGUUGUAUUUUUUAAUUGAUUGGUACGCAAUUGUUGUCUUAGCUGAUCACUUGCUCAUUUCCAUUCUUGAAAAUGCAAGAUUAUUAAUUUCCUUAUAAGGAUAUAUAAAGAUAGAGGCAAUCUUUUUAAAACUUUUCUGAAAUAUGAUAUAAAUGAAAAUGUCUGAUAUUCAAAUUAGUUAGAUUAGUUUCUGUACUCCUAGCAGUGCACCUAAAUUUGAGUAUCAAUGUUUCAGGGUACUAUUUUGUUUUUUGAGAACCAAGUAAAAGACACAGUUCCAGUGUGAUCAGCUAAGAGUUUUUGUACACAACAUCGAUUCUAUUUUUCUCAAACCAUUUAUUUUAGCUUGGAUAAGUGGUGUUUUGUUGUUCUACGGACUGAAUUUGUUGACGAACAUGGCUCGUGUGUAUUAAUUCAUCAAUGUCUCUGGCUAUCCUGCAGUACAAGGCAGACCAUAGAUUCCUCCCGAUGAAGAUUGAUGUGGCGCGAUGGAGAGCUUGGUGUGUGCGGCCUGCUGAUGGCGCUCGGGCCGAUGGUGGCUUAACAACGCAUGUUCUCUUAUAGUCCUCAUGCUCUCUGCCCUUAAUUUUAUCUCUCCGAUUCUUCUUUGGUUACAUGCACAUGUGAUUGAGGCAGGACAACAGGAGCAGCAAGAAGCAUCGACAACUAUGAGCUAGCUGCUAGCAGUGCCCCCCCCCCCNNNNNNNNNNAGGAGCAGCAAGAAGCAUCGACAACUAUGAGCUAGCUGCUAGCAGUGCCCCCCCCCCUCAUGUACAUGGAUUUGUAAUGGCCAAGGAACACUUUCGAUUCUUUCUUUAGUGUUUUCACUAUCAAUCCAUAUUUGGUGAACUUGUUCUACUGUUCAUGAGCCUCCGCCCAGAACCUGUCUGAUGUCAUGCGUACGACGGACUGAGACACGUUCUAAUUUUCUGGUGAAACUCUUACCUCUAUUUAGAAAAUCCAAAUGAUGAAACAAGUGUAUUCAAGGUUGGAUCUGCACCUUAAACAUGUGUACCUGAUGUUCCAAGCUGCCGGUGUUCACAGCUAAGGAGUAGGCAAGGGUCCAUGGUUCAUUUGAUUUCGUGGGGAUUAUCCAGUACAAUGCGAUCUACACUGAAGCCGAUCUGAGCCAGGUGGAACAGAAGUUGAUAGAUUAUUCUGGCGACAGGGCUUCAAUAUAUAUAUCAGUCAGAAGUCUUGCAGUUUAACCAGUUUAUGCCUGAUAUUUUUGUCUCUACAUUUAUGUAGUAAGCUCAAGGCAUCAGGUACGCUUUACAUACAAGGUCUCGUUCAGUUUAGUUUCCCAUGUAGUGUUAAAUUCUGAUGAACUAUAUUCAGUACAAAUUGUAAGCUAAAGCAGAUUAAAAAGAUAAUAAAUAUGCUCAAUCCAUGUUCAGUUGCUAAACUGAUCAGGAACUACACUUCAAAGAGCUAACUGUUCACAAUAAAAUAGCCAUAAAUUUGUCAGUGUUUAGGGUAUUCAUCCACUCAGUGUCAUGUUUCUGAAUUUUGUGAUCCGGAAAACAUUACUGGUCAUUUCAUAGUAAGAUUAUAGAGUUGUUCUCCCUUUAUUUUGCAUAUCUACUCACUUGCUUAUAGUAAAUAAAUAAUUAAACGGUCGGAACUGGUAAUUUCAAGGAAAGAAAUAAGAAUCUCAUGGUCUUUGCUAUCGCACCUGUACUGGAGAUUGGUCUUUCAGUCUCCAUGCCAAUCCAUGUCUAGCCUGACUGGACUCUUCCAACUUUUGUCAAGCUACGUUCCAAGUUUCAUAUUUGAAAUAGCUUAUGUUUUAUAGGUAAAGGCACACAAGUUUGCUGUUCAAUAUGACCAUCAACUUAUUAACAAUCUGUAGAAUAUCAGAAUACUUAUAUGUUUCAGUUUUUGUAAAUGAUGAACAACAAUAUAAUUUCAUGCCUAAAAUCACAGCUUGGGUUAAAGGCGUGUGAUUUGUUUUCCUCCCGUUGCAACACACGUGCAUUUUUGCUACAUACUCUCUCUGUAAAGUAGUGAUCUGAACGCACUUAUAUUUCUUUACAGAGGGAGUACUUUCAUCAGAAAAAAAGGAACGCACAGAUAUUUUAAUUAGUUUUCUUUCAUGUUGGCCUUAACUAACAAACAUGUUCUCAGCAAUUUCUCCACCUUUGCCAUGGGAUGGGAACCAAGCUUACACAAUAGAGGCUAUUGAGUUGUAUUGUCAGGUCUGUUUACGUAUUUUGUAUUUUACUUGAGAGUGAACCUCUAAGGCUGUACCUUCUUUUAAGUGCUAGCACCUAGAGAUGAUUUGAAUUUUCCUCUUGUAAAUGUCAUGAGGCAUGAGCCACAACCUCUCCAUAGAACAUUAAAACAAACAUUGAUCUCCCUGUCAUGAGGCAUGAGCCACAACCUCUCCGUAGAACAUUAAAACAAAACAUUGAUCUCCCUGUGGGUAAACAAACAUUGACCUUUUGAUUUAUUUUUCCACUAGACGAUUGUGGACCAUGUGCAGAAGGAGCGUCCAUUCAAGCACAUUCUAGCAGGAUGGUGUGCAAGUUCCUCUUUUUCUUAAGCUCAGGUUCCUCUUUCUUGCAUGAGUUAUUCUUAAUUAUUGAGUUGAUUUGCAGGAUUUACAUCAGAUUGGCACAAUUUGAUGAACUUGAAUUGUUUUAUUUGGCCAUUAUAUAUUUUUUGAGUUUUUUUGUUUGCCCGUUGCAACGCACGGGCACUUUUACUAGUAUUGUGAAUAUGUAACACGUACACACGAAGAAACUGUACUCUUCAAUGUCUUCAUACAGCUAAUCAGGCACGACUAGAGAUAAUGACUUGGAAAAAAAAGGGCAGCCCAGUGCAUGUAGCUCCCGCUUGCGCAGGGUCCGGGGAAGGGUCCUACCACUUUGGGUCUUCUGUACGCAGCCUUUCCCUGCAUUUCUGCAAGAGGCUGUUCCCAGGACUUGAACCCGUGACCACAUGGUCACAAGGCAACAGCUUUAGCACUGCACCAAGGCUCCCCUUCAGAUAGUGACUCGGAACCGCAAACUAAAUUCUAACCAGGAUGUAUGUCUUUAUUUUCAUUAAGUAUUGACUUAGAUGAGCUAAAAGUACAAGUCACUUCAAGCUUGCUAAGAAGGACCGUAAAUCUGAGUAUUGGAAUAUAUCAGGGUAGAACUAGUACAAUUUUCCACCUCCACGAAACAUUAUAUCAACUCUGUUAACUUCAAGUGGUGCAAAGUCGAGAAAGAUCAAAGAAGUGAUACCUGGGUUUGUAAAACAUCAACAACUGUUGCAAUUAAAUUAUCACGGGACGUACUUGCAUAUACCUGAGUGAGAAACAGAAGACAAUUAGAAGGCGUUCCUGGCAUUGGGCUUAGAGACUAUUAUAUUAUAUUGCAUACUACUUACAUGAAUCGGGCAACCAUCAUUGAAUUCGAAUGCAAACAUCUGCGGCUCUUCUGCAAAUCGCACAAGGGCACUUACUGCUGAUAGAGGCCGGACGAUAGUAGCCUGGAAAGAUAAGAUACAGUGCAACCAAGUAAGAAACCUACCAUACCAAAGUCAUAGCAGAAAGAAGGAACAAGCAAUCUAACAGAAACAUAUCCACAAUUGGUGUAAGUGCCCUUAGACCUUGUACUCAAGACUACCAUUUAUUGAAAGCUGAUUUGCGAAUGGCAGCAUACUUGCAGCAUGUGCAUAUGCUAUCAAAAGUUUCAGUGUGAAUGAUUUAUACAAAAAUAAAAAUUAAAAAAUGGCUACCUCAUAAUUCUCAGGGCGCCUUUCCACAAGUGAUGUGUUUGUAAGAACGAGCUGCCGAGAAACAGAAUCACCCUGUUCUCCAAGUCCUCCCCGUGGUCCAACACCCAAACUCAAGCUCUCAAUACAGGCAGUGCCAUGUGCAGCAGGACGUAAUCUUAUUACUGACCAUUCUCCAUGCCGAGUUUCAGCAGCUCCAACUGCCUCAUUAGCUAAAAUGAAAAUCAAGUGAGAUGAUAGCCACAGGGAACACAGAGAACAUCAGUUCAAGUUUUACUCCUUUGUUGCAUGAGGCAGAUGUAGAUUUGAUGACAUUGUAGAUAAACUUGAAACUAAUACAUGAGAUAGAUGUGAAUUUUAUGUACCAAUCUGAAACUUGGUGCUAUUUCGCUGAGUCUGUUUGUUUUAUAUUGAUUUUGAAGCUGUAUACUGAAAAAAUGUAUUGAAAACUGUAUAUAUGCAUUAAUAUGUGCAGCCUCAUCAUCAUAAACAAUAAAAGGGCAGCCCGGUGCAUGUAGCUCCCGCUUGCGCAGGGUCCGGGGAAGGGUCCGACCACUUUGGGUCUAUUGUACACAGCCUUUCCCUACAUUUCUGUAAGAGGCGGUUUCCAGGACUUGAACCCGUGACCUCAUGGUUGUUACAGUAUAUGUGGAUUGCACUGGCCCUUUCCAUCAGUUCGGACUUUUGGUUGCGUUGGCUAAUGCAUGAAGCUUAACAUGGUAUCGGAGCUAAGGUCUUGAGUUCAAGUCCUGACUUUCGCAAUUUAUUAAAAAUUGCUUAUGGCCCCCCUUUGUGUCCACGUAGAGGCCUCUUGAGUCAUGUGAGUUUUGCGCGCCAUCGCUCUCUUUCGGUUGCACGUGUUCACUUGUCUUCCCCGUCACACGUGAGAGGGAGUGUUACAGCAUAUGUGGAUUGCACUAGCCCUUUCCAUCAGUUCGGACUUUUGGUUGCGUUGGCUAGUGCGUGAAGCUUAAAAAUGGUCACAAGGCAGCAGCUUUACCACUGCGCCAAAGGCUCCCCUUCCCUCAUCAUCAUAAACAAUAGUCACCUAAAAAUCUACUCAAUAUCCCCAACAAAACGGCAGCAAGUAAAAUUCAUCAUCACCAGAUAUACAAUAUUCACCUCUCCUUGCUAUGAAGUCAGCAGCUGUCAUUGACUGUGAAUUGUCAACGGAGAGUGAUAAUCCAAUUGCUGACUUGGCAGUUUUUGUCUGAAAGAUAACUGGCAUUAGAAUGCUACAUCAACUUGUAACAGGCAAUGAAACAACUAACAAAGAAGAAUACAAAAAAGCAUACCAAAGAUGAUAUAAUCAGAGUGUUUGUACUGCCUGAUGCAGCCAUAAAUGCUUUCGACUUCCUUCCAUAAAGGGGGCAUAGCACAAAUCCUCCGCCUUCAGCGCUCCUCCUCCCAUAAUUAUCCCCCAAGAGCAAGAUAGCAGGAGAAUCCAUAUCUCUAAAGUCCAAGCACCAGCGUAGAUUACCAGAGUGUACUUCAAGGAGCUCAAUUCCCAACGAAGUGACCUUAAUUUUCUACAUAAUGUUUUUCAAUGCCAGUAACCAAGAUAUCAUCAGAUGUUAAACAGCUGAUGAUUUAAAACAGUAGAUUCAUCUCAAACAGCAUGGUGUAAGUAAAUUACAGUAGAGGUACUCUACAAUCAGCUGCCCGUCUAACUAUUCAUCAACCCAGUGCAGUAAUGUUCAUUUAUUAUUAACUACUUAAAUGCUUGGUACUAGCAUUGCGGUCUUGCGGCACAAUUUGAAAACUGAGUGACUUAGUUUUCAGCCAUUUAUUGUAGCACGGUUUGAAAAUUGGUGUUCAUUUGUUAAUUUUGUCCAUAAAUAGAGAGAUUAAAACCAAUUGCGUGAAAAAAUACUACUACCUCUGUACCAAAAUAUAAGACGUUUUUGUAGGCUAAACUAGCCUACAAAAAUGUCUUAUAUCUUGAUACGGAGGGAGAAUUAUACAAGUAUGCUACACUAUUUUUAAUUCCCCUUCAAUUAGUAGCUUUGUAAACUAAGUUCGGCACCAAAAAGAUGGAAUUAUGGCACGAUCCGAAGAUCAUUUAUUUUUUACAUCCCUUCAAUUUGUAGCUUUGUAAACUAAGCCCCAUGCCAAAAAAAAAUGACCACAUGACAAUAUGAGAAUCAGCAAGGAUUUUGCCGCCGGGAUUAGCAACAGCUAGCUAACUAUUUGACUUCAGUGCAGGCAUAUAAGAUCACCCUCUUCUCAAUUCCACCUCAUUUGGCUAAUUGGACAAUUCUUUGGCUAGUUAUAACUGAUGCAGCCCUUUAAAUAUGAAGUUCCAGAAAUGCAGUUAUCAGUACCAUAUACCCCAAAACUAAGUUGGAUUGGGCAUGAAAGCAUCGACUGAUGACCGUGGAGAUGUUAUAUUCCAACCUUGUAUUAUUCAGAAUAGUAGCACGGCUGGAUAGUGCUCGGGCGAGAAGAUAAGAAAGGCGCGAUGGGGCAAGGGCGGAGAACUUACGAAGGGUGCCCACUCUUGGGUGCGGCGGCGGAGGUGGAGGACGGGGAACUCCACGACCGGGUGCACGGGGCGCAGGCGGUGGAGCUCGGUGAGGAUCCCGGCGCGGAGCGGCGAGGAGAAGCGCAUGGCCUUGAACUUGCCCUUGCCGUCAGAGCGGACGCUGAGCGAGAAUUCGGCGGCGGCGUUGGGGUCGGGCGCCGCGCGGUCGAAGUCUGCGGCGAAGUCGUAGGAGUUGGUGACGGCGAGCGUGGUCGGGUCGAGCGUGACGACGCCCGAGGCGGCGAUGCAGAGGAUCCGGCGGUACCUCCCCCGCCACGAGUGCUUGACGACGAAGUACCUGGCGAGGUACUCGGGCUCCUCGGUGACGGCGGAGGAGGAGGCGUCGGCCCCGGCGUUGGCCGACGGGGCCGAGGCGGUGUGGCGGCUGGCGAAGUCCAUGUUCUCUAGGAGGCUUCGGCGGCGGGUAUUAGGGUUCCGCCAGGGGAGCGGGAGCUGGAAGAAGGGGGAGCGCGGUGCCGCCGGAGAGUGGCGGGAGUGAUUCGCCCCCAGCGCGGCCGAUCUGGGCGACGAGAUCCCCCCACCCGGCGAUCCUGUCCAGGGUGGCCCGCGGGUACGCCGAUCGCCGGAGACCGGUAGGGUGGUCGGAGAUUGAGAAUUUCGCUGUCUUCUCGUCGGCGUCUGAUCGAUUUCGUUGAUUUGAUUUUGGCUUUUGUGUAUUAGUUUUGUGCUUUUGUUGAGAGAAGCUGUACCACCUUCCGAUCUCCGUUUUUCCACGGCUGUGGUGAAAUCGUCGUGGUAUCGUAUCGUGGCAGGGAAGUGGAGCUGGCUCGACUCAGCCCCGCGAGGACAGGUUCACUCCAUCAUCGUCAACUUGUCAUAAAAUCAAAUCAAAUUAUUUUUCUUCUCUUCUUAGAAACAAUCAAUUUCUAUGAAAUCACUCCCGCCCCUAGUAGUAGAUAGAGUAGAAAAUAAAAGGAAUUCAUCAGUUGUGAAAGUUCAUCAUGACAUACAAAUUGAUGGUUCCAAAUGCAUGGUAUUAUAAGUUUUAAUGUAGAUGACUCAUCAAAGAAAAUCCACCCGAGGUUGUUUUGAAAAUAUACCUGGAGGCAAUAAUAAUUGUAUUGUUUAUUUUUGAGUUUAUAAUUAAGUGUUUAUAUUCUAUGUUAUGACUGUUAUGGUUCUUGAAUAUGUAAUUCAGAGGAAAAUUGAUAAGCACGUGUAGAGUCAUAUGAUUUGAAUGGAACUAAUUUGGACUAACGUUGUUUUCAGCAGAACUACCGUGCCGUUGUUUUUUGUGCAGAAAUAAAAUUUCUUAUAAUUGACUGAAAUUUUUUGGUGAUUUUUUUUGAAACAAAAUAGACCCCCGAAGCUUCGUAGGACAACCAGAAGAGCCAUGAGGGCCCGACUCACCACCUCGGCACGCCCAGGGGUGAUGGUGCCCAAGUGCCUCGUGGGCCCAUCUUAGCCAUUCUUCGCGUGAUUCCAACUCUAAAAAUUCCUAUAAAUACCAAACUCCCAAAAAGUUAACAUAGAACUUCGACUUCGCCGUCGCAAGCCUCUGUAUCAAAGAGAUCCCAUCUUGAGCUCUACUCCAGCACCAUGUCGAAGGGAGAAAUCAUCAUCGGAGGCCAUCUUCAUCAUCCCGUCGGUCUCCGUGAUGAGGAGAGAGUAGUUCACCCUCGGGGCAGACCGGCUGAGGGUAUGUACGAGUAGCUAUGUGUUUGAUCUCUCUUUCUCGUGUUCUUAAUUUUGCACGAUCUUGAUAUACCACGAGCUUUAUUAAUAUAGUUGGAUCAUAUGGUGUUUCUCCCUAUCUAUCUUGUUAUGAUAAAUUGAUUUUUUUACUUUGAGGUUUCACUAUUAUCGGAUUGAAUACUUUUUGGAUUUGAAAACACUUGAUGUAUAUCUUGCAUGUGGAUACCCGUGGUGACAGUGGGGUGUUCUAUUGAUUCACUUGAUAUAUGUUUUGGCAAUCAACUUGCAGAUUCCCGUGGUGGCAUUGGGGUAAUCUAUGCAUACGGGUUGAUGCACGUUUUCGUCCUUCUUUCUCCGAUAGAAACCUUGGGGCACUCUUUGAAGUUCUUUGUGUUGGAUUGAAUAUUAUGAAUCUGAAGUUGUUUGAUGCAUAUCGUAUAAUCAACUCACGGAUACUUGUGGUGACAUUGGAGUAUUUAUGUGACAUUAGAGUUGGUUGAUGUGUAUCAUAUGGUAUUAUUUUAGUACGAACUAUAGGAUUGUUUGUGACACUUAUAGGGAUGGCUCAAUAGAUUGAUCGAAAAAGAUAACUUUGAGGUGGAUUCGUACCCUGCAACAAUUUUAUCUUAUGUUCUCUGCUAGAUAAGAGCUUUGGAGUAAUUCUUUGUAGCAUGUUGAGGGUUUGUUAUAUGAUUCAAUUAUGUUAACACUGUUGAGAGAUUGCACUAGUGAAAGUAUGAAUUCUAGGCCUUAUUUUCAAGCAUUGCAAUACCGUUUGUGCUCCGUUUUAUCACUUGCUACCUUGCUGUUUUUAUAUUUUCAUAUUACAAAAACCUAUAUAUAUCAUUCAUAUUGCACUUGUAUCACCAUCUCUUUGCCAAACUAGUGCACCUAUGCAAUUUACCAUUGUAUUGGGUGUGUUGAGGACACAAGAGACUCUUUAUUAUUUGGUUACAGGGUUGUUUGAGAGAGACUAUCUUCAUCCUACGUCUCCCAUGGAUUGAUAAACCUUAGGUCAUCCACUUGAGGGAAAUUUGUUACUGUCCUAUAAAACUCUGCGCUUAGAGGCCCAACACGAGUCUACAAAAAAAAGUUGUGUAGUAGACAUCAAGCUCUUUUCUGGCGCCGUUGCCGGGGGGUGAGUGCUUGAAGGUAUAUCUUUACAUCUUGCAAUCUAAUCUUUUAGUUUCUUAUUUUAUCACUACUUUAGUCUAUAAAAAAACUACAAAAAAGGGAAUUGAGGUUGUGUAACAUCCCAAAAUUCUAAAUUUUGGAAUGUUAUAUUAAAUAGAUAGAUUUGAAUGAUUGUCUGAAAGUGAGUGAAUUCGAAGCUUUUUGAAAGUUAAAUGAGAGGGAAUAAAAGGACUUUCCCAAACUUUCAUAUUUGCUUUCUGAUCUCCGUGAAUUCAAAUUAUUUUCACCACAAACCCCUGGAGAGAAGAUGCCAUGACUUUUUCCAUUUACUUAAAUGACAAGGGGUGUUGGAAAUAUUUGAAUUUCAUUUGAAACUAUUUUCAAACUUUAUGCAACUCAAUGAUUUUCACGAGCGAAGAUAAAAUGACUUCUUCAAAUUAUAUGAAAUAUGAGUUGGGAGUUUCAAAGAAUUAAAUUCAAAGUUCUUUUGAAUUUAUUUUCAAUUUGGAGUUAAUUGAGUUUUAUUCAAAUAAUUUUUCUCCAAAAAUAAAAUAUAUGGAAAUUAGGGUAACAUGAUUCCCUACAUUAGAAAAUUGGAGAAAAAUUAAUUUGAAAUCAUUUUGGUAUUUUUUUAAAUGAUUUUGUUGGAUUUUAUUAGACCAGUAGCACUGUUUGAAUUAUUUGAAUUUGUGUGUACUUUAUUUGACUCUAGGAAAAUGUUCAUGUCGUAGAAAAUCUUUUUCUGAAAAUUUGAUAUAUUAUAUGCCUAUAUAAUAUUUUUAGUUAUUUUCGUUUUUAUUAUUUUAAUUGUUUGGAAAAAAAUGUUUUAAAAAAACAAAUCUUCGCCGACUGGGCUGGCCCAGCACCCAGCCAGGCCGCGGCCCAGCCAGCCCAGCCCCGUGCGUCCCCGACCUCCGCCCGGACUCCGGCUCCCGCACGCCGCCGCGCCGCCAUGGAUGCCGUGCGCCGCCCGGCCUCCUCUGCCCCCUCCUCCAAGCUUCAUGCCGCCCCUCUCCUCUAUAUAAUUCGGAGCCCCGGGCCCCGCCUACCUCUCUCUCCUCCUCGCAUCACGCCGCCAUCGCCGCAUCUCACCACCGCUGCCACCGCCGCCGGAAGCCGCAGUCGCUGCCCUCGUCGCCGUCGACCGUCGCCGAUGCCACCACCGCAACCNNNNNNNNNNNNNNNNNNNNNNNNNNNNNNNNNNNNNNNNNNNNNNNNNNNNNNNNNNNNNNNNNNNNNNNNNNNNNNNNNNNNNNNNNNNNNNNNNNNNNNNNNNNNNNNNNNNNNNNNNNNNNNNNNNNNNNNNNNNNNNNNNNNNNNNNNNNNNNNNNNNNNNNNNNNNNNNNNNNNNNNNNNNNNNNNNNNNNNNNNNNNNNNNNNNNNNNNNNNNNNNNNNNNNNNNNNNNNNNNNNNNNNNNNNNNNNNNNNNNNNNNNNNNNNNNNNNNNNNNNNNNNNNNNNNNNNNNNNNNNNNNNNNNNNNNNNNNNNNNNNNNNNNNNNNNNNNNNNNNNNNNNNNNNNNNNNNNNNNNNNNNNNNNNNNNNNNNNNNNNNGCAUUCCCCGACGCCCGGAGCCGCCGCCCCGAACGGAGCUGAGCCGCCGCCGCCGUCCUUUUCCUCGCCGCCGACGACCCACCGUCGCGGUAACCGCCGUCGCCCCUCCUCACCGUCAGAUCUGGAUCCAACGAUCCAGAUCGUUCCAUUUUUUUUAUUAUUUUACCCGAAGCGUUUUGUUUUUAUUUAGAGAACGUUCGCUGGUUAGGUAUAGAAAACGAAUGUUCAUCCUUUAGUUUUUUUUCUUUUCUUUUUCUGUUAUUUUCGGCCAGGGGCCUAUUUGUGAUAGUUUUUCUUACAGAUUAGUCCCUCGGUUUCAAACGACUAUAACUUUUUACUCGUUAGUCCAAAUUCAACGAAACCAACGCCCACGUCUUCGUUAUGAUCUCCUCUAUCCAGUAAUCCAACUCAAACAUGAUUUUGAAAGUUUAAAAUUUGAAUUAAGAUCAUAUUUGAAUUUGAACUUCAUUUGAUCAUAACUUGAGUUUCGUAACUCCGUUUGAGUUGAUUCUUUUUGCAAAAUCGAAGCUCUUGACCUAAACUUUCUGAUAAGGCCAAAUUCAUAUAAUUUUGGUACUAUUAGAAAUUGUUUUAUGUUGCAAGAGUUAUUUGCUUGGUUUUGAUGUUUUCCGAAUUGUUUUCUUCGAUCUUUCUGAUCUUUUGAGUGAUUGCUUAUGUGUGGUUACUACUGCUUGCUUACGAUAGAUUGACCGGAGUGUGACGAGUAGAACUAUCAAGAGUUAUGAGUGCGAAUCAUCUUCAUCUACAUUGCAGGCAAGUUCACACUUUGAUCAUGUCCCCUUCAUACCCAGUUUUCAUUGCAUUAGAUCAAACCUCAAACAUUGCAUGAUUGGGAUCUAAUUAAAUUGUGGGAUGGGAAGUAGUUGAGGUAGUACCUAUUACCUGUUUGUUAUCAAACCCUUGGGAGUUACUAUUACGUUAUGCUUAUAGUGCCAUGCUAUGCUCGUAGACGUGGAUUGGAUUUUGAGAGUAUCCAUGACAGAUGUGAGAUUGUUAAUUAAUGGUUUACGUAAGGUGGCAACUUAAACACACAUCUGGGUGGAUUGAGGCACCUGGUUAUUCCAGGAUUGCCUGUCUAGGCACCUGGGUAGACCAGGAUUGCCUGUUUUUUUAUGGACCGCCACCCAGGCUCAAAGGGAUCAUGAGAUUAUUCAUACUAGAAACUUUCGUGUGCAGCCACAAGCUAUUAUGGGCUCUAGCAUAGUUGACUAAGUCGUGCGAACUCUUACAGUGGUAGACUAGCAGAUGUAGGGGAUGUAGGUGGUACGGUCUACCCGAUCGUAAGGUGCUAGCGCUUCUGAAAGACUAUGUCUCGGUCAUCCGUCUUCUCAAACACCAUGUAGUGCGAGAAACCAAACGGAGGCGAUCGAGUCUUGUGGGAAAAAGUGCGCAAACCUCUGCAGAGUGUACAAACUAAUCAUGAUUAGCCGUGUCCCCGGUUAUGGACAUCUUGAGUCUCUCGUACUUGGAUUAUCCUGUUGAUCUCAUCACGUUACUUUAAAUUAAGUUUGUUGGGUUUAAUGAUGUUAUUUAAUUGGGAUUGAGAAUGCUGUCAACCAUUCUCAAUGUUCAACAACCACCAUGAUAGUUAAAUAAAAUUUAUUCCUUUGUAGUAGGGAAAAAUUGGUUUUUCGCAAAAACCUUAAACCGUAGAGCUUUUCCACCACCAAAUAUGCAUGUAGUGAUAGCCAUUGUUCAUCAUUCUCUAUGGUGUGAAUUUGCCAGUACAUUCAAUGUACUGACCCUUUGUGGCUGCAACAUCUCAUGUUGCAAGAUUAUCUUACGACGAGUAAGUGAUACGUUAGGGUUACGAUUUCUACACUCAACUUUGCCGUUGGUGUUGAUGGGAAUCCACAACCUUGUUACUUUCGCUAUUUUGGAUUGAGGUAAUAUUAUUUACGUUACUUUUUACAUGUGAUUUACCUCUGUUAUAAAUCCUCGAGUACUGUGUGUGUCAGCAUACCAAUCCAGGGAUGACACUUAAGCACAGAGACUUGAUCCAUUCGGGUCGGGUCGCUACAAGAUGGUAUCAGAGCACAUGUUGACUGUAGGACGUGACCCUAGAAACUGGCAAGCCCAUAGCAAAGAUUUUUCUCUACAACUUUCCCUUUCAAAAGAUCUUUUACAUCUCUUCUCCUCUGAGCUUAUUCAAAUAUUCCCUUUAGUGAGACCAUACCCCUUUCCCCUUUUGACCACACGAAGAUUCGACUAAUGAGAUCACUCCAAGAAGUACAACAUAUUGGACAACUAAGACCGCUUCAGAAUGAAGAGGAUUUUACUGUGCAUUUGAAUAAUGGAAACUACAACGGUUGAAGACCGAAGACAAGGAGAAUUUGAAGGCUCUGAAAAAUUCCCAAAUUUGUAUGACCUAGGAAGGCCGCCCUUAUGGAACUUGGCAGACUAUGAAAGUUGUCAAUACCCGAGAUCAAGGUGUAUCGGAGAAAGACUGAAACAAGUAGCAUGAGAAAACUCGAAGUUUUGUCAAAGAAAACCCUAAGGCAGGAGAUAUCAACUAUGGAAGAUAGUUUAUGGAAAUGACAAGAGCAGAAACACGGUCAUCCGUGAUGUCAUCACCCACUUAUGCUAUUGUCACCGUGCUGAGUUAAGCAUGCAUAUGCAUGGAAGGAUUGUAUGGUAGAAGGCUGAUGGAGCAUCUAUCAGCAAGAGGUGAAGUUAACCUUAUCUAGUGUAUCACCAGGAUCUGGAGUGUUACAUCAAGAAGUUAAGAUGGACCUUUAGGAAGCUAUAUUUGACAAGGAGCAUUUCAUGGAGAACGCAGGAUCCAGAAGUUGAAAGUAGCCAAGCUAGAGGAGCAAAACUUUGAGAUACAGGAGAUUCGUUAAGAACUGAAGGACAGCAGGAUCAUGGUUCAGGUCGAGUUUGAUGAAACCCAGAAGUUUGGAAUGCAACUCCAGAAUAUUAAAGGAUGUCACGAGAGACUUCGCGUCAACAGAGAUGAGCUGGCAAAAAGGAUUUGAGAAAGACAAGCACGAUCGGAAGAGGCCAUCAGAGACAUGAAGAAGACCUGAAGAGUCUGGCGACGUUGAAGAUUAAUUGACCUUUAAAAGACCAAACCCCUGUUAUAUACCUACGAUAGAUGCGAAGUUUGUGAGCUGUCAUUUGUUUGAUGUUUUUCCCGACAGCCACAAAUAAAAUCUGUCUUUUCAAAACUUUUGUUUGUAUUGUGUGUAUCCCUCUCCCUCUCUCUUAUCUUACCCCAAACCCAUGGACCCAAUAGAGGAUGAAUGAAGAUGGGCUUAUAUUUUCUGGACCGAUGAGUCAGUUGGAGACAGACCGAUGGAUUCAGAACAUGGAGGAUUACAUGAAGAAUAACCCUGUAGUCGGAAGGGAUAUGACCCAGCAUGCUCUUCAGUGCUUUGAAAGAGGUUCUGCUACUUGGUGGAGGAUGUACCAAACCAUGAAUGUAUGGCAAGGAGUAACCACUUGGAAAGAUUUUAAGUUGACUUUGCUAAAGUCUCGGUUUGUGUCCCAGAAGUUGAAGCCUUAUGGAAAGGAUAUGAAUAAACCUUGUGCAUGCAAGAUUUGUGGAGAAAUAGGACACACCCAUAAAGAACACAAGGAUGAAUGCCCUAAUUGUGAAGGGAGUCACCCAGUUGAAGAAUGCCCAACUAGGCAGAUUACUUCUUUCUUGUGUGAAGGGACUACCCACUAUCCUGCUUAGUGUCACAUUUACCCCAUGGUACAACGAACCAUCUAGCAGAAGAAAGAAGUAAUGAAAGGAGCCCUCAUGGAAUUUUUAGAAGAAGCUGUGAUGAAGGAAGAGAUGGAGGACACAUCUAAAGGAGAACCAAUUAAACCAUGCACCAAGUCGUGCUAUUCAUGUGGAGAAGAAGGACACAUCUCCCAAAAUUGUUUGAAUGGGGAUCUAGUAGAAUUCCCGACGGAGGAAGUAGAGUAUGACCCACAAGAAAUAGAAUCCAUGAUCGGAACAGAAAAGUCCAGGAAGAGAAGUAGAUUGGAUACCAGGAAGGACCUGAGUCAUAUCACCUGUUACAGGUGCAAGGAGUUAGGGCACUACCUCAACAGUUGCCCAAAAAGGAAACCUCGAUACUUGUCAGAAGUAAUAUGUUUUAGUUGUAAUGGAGCAGGGCACUUUGCCAGAGAAUGCCCCAAGGAGAAGGAAACUUGUGCUAGGUAGUUGAGUUUGCAACAAAAGAAAUGGAGUAGUAGAAGUGAGAACAUUUUCUUUUAUAUUAAGGUGUUGAGUUGAGACUUGUAAUGGAAAAGCGAGAGAUUGUAAUCACUUGAAAAUGAAUAAAGUUAGCAUCAUUGGUACUGAUAUGGAUUUUAUGAGUUGCUACUCUGUGAAGAAGAAUUUUGGCCAUUCUGAGGAUAUGAGAAAUAUGGUCUAUGGAAGAUUUGUGCAUUUUAAGGGUGGUAGUACCCUGUAAGAACCGUUGACCCCUGGAAAAGAUAAGGAUACUCCACUGAGUGGAUUUCAGAUAAAAUGAAUACGAGUUUUGUCUCGAUAUGUGUGAUACCCCAAGAGUAUGUGGGAUGAAGUUGGAGACCGUCAGUUGUUUGGACCAAAUGUGAUCAAGGAGUCAGAAGAGAAUGUUAAAGUUGAUUCGAGAUAGACUGAAGGUAGCCCAGUCCAGGCAGAAGAGUUAUGUAGACUCAAAAACUCAAGGAGGUAGUCUAUGAAAUUGGAGACAGAGCAUGUCUUCGUGUGCCCCCUCUGCGAGGAGUUACAUGAAUUGGAGUUAAGGGGAAGUUAGCCCCGAGAUUUGUAGGACCAUACCGAGUUUUGGAGCGUAUGGGAGAAGUGGCCAACAAGUUGGAGUCACCCGAAGGACUGUCAGGAGUUCAUGAUGUGUUUCACAUUUCCUAGUUGAAGAAGUGCCAUGCAGAGAUGGCCAGUAUUCCCCUGUAAGGACGCUUGACCCUGGAAAGGAUAAUGAUGUUCCACGAAGUGGAAUAUGGACUUCAUAAGUAUAAGUUUUUAUCUCGGUAUGAGGGAUAUCCCACGAGGAUGAAGAGAUAAAUUACUAUUGGAUAUAAAGGAGGUAUGAUGUUGGAAAUAUGGAUCAAUGGAAACUCCAUGAUGAGUUUGAGUAAUCAUGUCCUAGUUUGGUGCCAAUAGAAGGAAGGAAGACGAUACAAUUGGAUGGAUUUUAAGUAUGCUAGGGAUCUGGAAGUUGGAAGUUGGAAUAAUGAUCAGUUGCCCGAUGAUAAGUUCAAGGACUACAAGUGAUGAGAUGGGCCAUAACCCACAGGCCCCAGGACCUGCCAAGAAGCAAAGCACAUUCUUGCUGAAGGAAAAACCCUGGACGAAGUUACGAUUUUAUCAAUAAGACGAUCUUAUAGGAGUAACGCAAAACCUGAGAGUUGUGAAGGAACGAUAGAUGUUUGUUUGGCUUGCAGAAUCAAUGGAUUAUUCCGAAUGCAGUUCAUGGACAAGAGAAAUUCUGUAAUGCUUGUGAGGAUGACCGAGUGUUAGAAUGCGAGAUUCGCUAAACCGUAUACAAGGUAAUGAUUUGGGUGCGGGAUGGAUUGAUCACUAUACUGACUUACUCUUAUUAUUCGCCUUGAUAUAUGGGAUGGUAAAUCUGAGUGACUUACCUAUAGUAGAGAGACGACAAUAUUAAACCUUGUUUAAACCUUAGAAUGGUAUAGCAAUUUUUCCCUUGUACAAGGCAGCUUUUGCCAACCGUAGGUUAUACGGUGAGGAUCAACCCAGACCCAUUCCCUGCAGGAGAAACCAUAAUUGGUUGACCACCAUGAGAUAUCGAUAGUUGUUUAGUUUUGGCGCCAGACCCGUCAGCUAAGAAGACCCAAUCUCGGAAUAACCUUACCAAGAUGAAAGCACAAAAGAAUUGUGGUAAAGGUUAUGCCACUACCGAAAGAGCCCAGAUAAGGAAUUAUCAUGACGAUCUGAGAAGACCGACACUGUUAACAAUAUGGAUGGAGUAUAUGAGUUUUGUUGGAACAGUAAACCAUGCUUCUAAGGGUGGUAGCACCCCAGACCCCUGUGAUGAUCGAUGGAUUUUGAGGAGACCCCCAAACCCUAACCUUUCUUGCUAGCCUCUCCGAAUCUCGAGGACGAGAUUCAUUUUAAGGGUGGUAGGUUUGUAACAUCCCAAAAUUCUAAAUUUUGGAAUGUUAUAUUAAAUAGAUAGAUUUGAAUGAUUGUCUGAAAGUGAGUGAAUUCGAAGCUUUUUGAAAGUUAAAUGAGAGGAAUAAAAGGACUUUCCCAAACUUUCAUAUUUGCUUUCUGAUCUCCGUGAAUUCAAAUUCUUUUCACCACAAAACCCUGGAGAGAAGAUGACAUGACUUAUUCCAUUUAUUUAAAUGACAAGGGGUGUUGAAAAUAUUUGAAUUUCAUUUGGAACUAUUUUCCAAUUCUGAAACUUUAUGCAACUCAAUGAUUUUCACGAGUGAAGAUAAAAUGACUUCUUCAAAUUAUAUGAAAUAUGAGUUGGGAGUUUCAAAGAAUUAAAUUCAAAGUUCUUUUGAAUUUAUUUUCAAUUUGGAGUUAAUUGAGUUUUAUUCAAAUAAUGUUUCUCCAAAAAUAAAAUAUAUGGGAAUUAGGGUAACAUGAUUCCCUACAUUAGAAAAUUGGAGAAAAAUUAAUUUGAAAUCAUUUUGGUAUUUUUUUUAAAUGAUUUUGUUGGAUUUUAUUAGACCAGUAGCACUGUUUGAAUUAUUUGAAUUUGUGUGUAUUUUAUUUGACUCUAGGAAAAUGUUCAUGUCGUAGAAAAUCUUUUUCUGAGAAUUUUGAUAUAUUAUAUGCCUAUAUAAUAUUUUUAGUUAUUUUCGUUUUUAUUAUUUUAAUUGUCUGGAAAAAAAUGUUUAAAAAAACAAAUCUUCGCCGACUGGGCCGGCCCAGCACCCAGCCAGGCCGCGGCCCANNNNNNNNNNNNNNNNNNNNNNNNNNNNNNNNNNNNNNNNNNNNNNNNNNNNNNNNNNNNNNNNNNNNNNNNNNNNNNNNNNNNNNNNNNNNNNNNNNNNNNNNNNNNNNNNNNNNNNNNNNNNNNNNNNNNNNNNNNNNNNNNNNNNNNNNNNNNNNNNNNNNNNNNNNNNNNNNNNNNNNNNNNNNNNNNNNNNNNNNNNNNNNNNNNNNNNNNNNNNNNNNNNNNNNNNNNNNNNNNNNNNNNNNNNNNNNNNNNNNNNNNNNNNNNNNNNNNNNNNNNNNNNNNNNNNNNNNNNNNNNNNNNNNNNNNNNNNNNNNNNNNNNNNNNNNNNNNNNNNNNNNNNNNNNNNNNNNNNNNNNNNNCCGGACUCCGGCUCCCGCACGCCGCCGCGCCGCCAUGGACGCCGUGCGCCGCCCGGCCUCCUUCGCUCCCUCCUCCAAGCUUCGCGCCGCCCCUCUCCUCUAUAUAAUUCGGAGCCCCGGGCCCCGCCUACCUCUCUCUCCUCCUCGCAUCGCGCCGCCAUCGCUGCAUCUCACCACCACUGCCACCGACACCGGAAGCCGCAGUCGCUGCCCUCAUCGCCGUCGACCGUCGCCGAUGCCACCACCGCAACUGCCGCUCCACGCCGCCCCUCCCCGUGCUAUUUGCCGCAUUCCCCGACGCCCGGAGCCGCCGCCCCGAACGGAGCCGAGCCGCCACCGCCGUCCUUUUCCUCGCCGUCGACGACCCACCGUCGCGGUAACCGCCGUCGCCCCUCCUCACCAUCAGAUCUGGAUCCAACGAUCCAGAUCGUUCCAUUUUUUUAUUAUUUUACCCGAAGCAUUUUGUUUUUAUUUAGAGAACGUUCGCUGGUUAGGUAUAGAAAACGAACGUUCGCCCUUUAGUUUUUUUUUCUUUUCUUUUUCUGUUAUUUUCGGCCAGGGACCUAUUUGUGAUAGUUUUUCUUACAAAUUAGUCCCUCGGUUUCAAACGACUAUAACUUUUUACUCGUUAGUCCAAAUUCAGCGAAACCAACGCCCACGUCUUCAUUAUGAUCUCCUCUAUCCAGUAAUCCAACUCAAACAUGUUUUUGAAAGUUUAAAAUUUGAAUUAAGAUCAGAUUUGAAUUUGAACUUCAUUUGAUCAUAACUUGAGUUUUGUAACUCCGUUUGAGUUGAUUCUUUUUGCAAAAUCGAAGCUCUUGACCUAAACUUUCUGAUAAGGCCAAAUUCAUAUAAUUUUGGUACUAUUAGAAAUUGUUUUAUGUUGCAAGAGUUAUUUGCUUGGUUUUGAUGUUUUCCGAAUUGUUUUCUUCGAUCUUUCUGAUCUUUUGAGUGAUUGCUUAUGUGUGGUUACUACUGCUUGCUUACGAUAGAUUGACCGGAGUGUGACGAGUAGAACUAUCAAGAGUUAUGAGUGCGAAUCAUCUUCAUCUACAUUGCAGGCAAGUUCACACUUUGAUCAUGUCCCCUUCAUACCUAGUUUUCAUUGCAUUAGAUCAAACCUCAAACAUUGCAUGAUUGGGAUCUAAUUAAAUUGUGGGAUGGGAAGUAGUUGAGGUAGUACCUAUUACCUGUUUGUUAUCAAACCCUUGGGAGUUACUAUUACGUUAUGCUUAUAGUGCCAUGCUAUGCUCGUAGACGUGGAUUGGAUUUUGAGAGUAUCCAUGACAGAUGUGAGAUUGUUAAUUAAUGGUUUACGUAAGGUGGCAACUUAAACACACAUCUGGGUGGAUUGAGGCACCUGGUUAUUCCAGGAUUGCCUGUCUAGGCACCUGGGUAGACCAGGAUUGCCUGUUUUUUUAUGGACCGCCACCCAGGCUCAAAGGGAUCAUGAGAUUAUUCAUACUAGAAACUUCCGUGUGCAGCCACAAGCUAUUAUGGGCUCUAGCAUAGUUGACUAAGUCGUGCGAACUCUUACAGUGGUAGACUAGCAGAUGUAGGGGAUGUAGGUGGUACGGUCUACCCGAUCAUAAGGUGCUAGCGCUUCUGAAAGACUAUGUCUCGGUCAUCCGUCUUCUCAAACACCGUGUAGUGCGAGAAACCAAACGGAGGCGAUCGAGUCUUGUGGGGAAAAGUGCGCAAACCUCUGCAGAGUGUACAAACUAAUCAUGAUUAGUCGUGUCCCCGGUUAUGGACAUCUUGAGUCUCUGGUACUUGGAUUAUCCUGUUGAUCUCAUCAUGUUACUUUAAGUUAAGUUUGUUGGGUUUAAUGAUGUUAUUUAAUUGGGAUUGAGAAUGCUGUCAACCAUUCUCAAUGUUCAACAACCACCAUGAUAGUUAAAUAAAAUUUAUUCCUUUGUAGUAGGGAAAAAUUGGCUUUUUGCAAAAACCUUAAACCGUAGAGCUUUUCCACCAGCCAAAUAUGCAUGUGGUGAUAGCCAUUGUUCAUCAUUCUCUAUGUUGUGAAUUUGCCAGUACAUUCAAUGUACUGACCCUUUGUGGCUGCAACAUCUCAUGUUGCAGGAUUAUCUUACGACGAGUAAGUGAUAUGUUAGGGUUACGAUUUCUACACUCAACUUUGCCGUUGGUGUUGAUGGGAAUCCACAACCUUGUUACUUCCGCUAUUUUGGAUUGUGGUAAUAUUAUUUACGUUACUUUUUACAUGUGAUUUACCUCUGUUAUAAAUCCUCGAGUACUGUGUGUGUCAGCAUACCGAUCCAGGGAUGACACUUAAGCACAGAGACUUGAUCCAUUUGGGUUGGGUCGCUACAGGUUGCCUCAUAUGCUUCAUCUUUAUAAUGUCUUUCAUGAAAAUGAUGGAUCGGGAAAUUGUGCCAAAGCAUUAAAAGAAGAAUUCAAUAAAAUGUCUGGCAUAAAAUCCUUGAAUGAUAAUCAUGAUUGCGAUGUUGCUAGUAUGAAUUCUCUGAAUAUCCAUGACACUAGUGAUAUUCAAAGCCAUAAGCUUGGGUAUGAUAUGUUUGGUGAAGAUGAUAUUUUUAGUCCCCCAAGUUUUGAUGUGUAAAUUUGUUAUGGUGAUUGCAUGCCUCCUAUUUAUCAUGAUUGCAAUAUUUAUGAAAGUGAGUUUGGAAGGGUGUCAACUUUAGAUAAUAAUUGUCCCACUAUUUUGGAGGGUUUUCAAUCUUGUUAUAAUGAUAAAAGUGGAUUUGGUGAGUUCAUGACUUUAUUUAGUGAUGAAUCCACUAUUUUGGAAGAGGUUUCAAUUGAUUGUGACAACAAAGUUGCUAUCUAUGAUGAUUAUUGUGAUGACAUGUAUGCUAUAAAGAAUAGCGAUAACCAUGAAACUUGUCAUCAUGAUUUCAAUUUUCAAUUGGAUUAUCCCAAACAAGUAUCACAUGAUAGUUAUUUUGUUGAGUUUGCUCCCACUACUAUUCAUGAGAGUAAACUUGCUUAUGGGAGAGUAAAAAAAUUAUGAUUGUGUAUCAUGAAAAGAAUGCUUUAUGUGAUAGCUAUAUUGUUGAAUUCAUUCAUGAUGCUACUGAAAAUUACUUUGAGAGAGGAACAUAUGCUUGUAGGUAUUGCAAUAAUAUCAAGUUUCCUCUCUAUGUGUUGCAAAUCUUGAUGUUUUGCCUUUUUUGUCUUCCUAUGCUAGUUGAUUCUUGUUCCCAUGAAUUGUUUGCUCACAAAAUCCAUAUCCAUAGGAAGUGGGUUAGGCUUAAAUGUGCUAGUCAUAUGCUUCAUGAUGCUCUCUUUGUGUUUCAAUUCUUUACUUUUAUGUGAGCAUCAUUGAAAUCAUCAUGCCUAGCUAAAAAGGCACUAAAGAAAAACACUUGUUGGGAGACAACCCAAUAUAUCUACCUACUGUUUUUGUGUGUUCACAUGAUUAAGAUACUGUAGUACUAACGUUUUAUAGCUUCUGUUUCAAUAAAGUGCCAAGUAAAGCCUUUGGGAUACUGUGGAUGAUAGUUGACUUGAUUUUGUGCAAAAACAGAAACUUUUGCGCCCAGUAACAAAAUUGUUUAAAACCACUGGAGCAUCAAAAUUUUCUGAAUUGUUUACAGAUGAUUGAUAUACAAAUUGCCUACGUUUUUCUAUCUUUUCAGAAUUUUUGGAUUUACAGAAGUAUGGUCAUUGUUCAGAUCAUUAUAGACUGUUUUGUUUUUGACAAAUUAUGUUUUCAAUGCAUAGUUUGCUUGUUUUCUAGUUUCUAUGGCUUAUAUUGGUCAAUAUAAAUUGUAGAAAUGAUUGGGCAUCUAACUUGUUUUUGCAGGGCAUGUUGUGAUGUGAUAUGGUCAAGGCAUGAUGCUAUAUUUUAUUGUAUGAGAUGAUCAUGUUUUGUAACGGAGUUAUCGGCAACUGGCAGGAGCCAUAUGGUUGUCGCUUUAUUGUAUGCAAUGCAAUCGCCCUGUAAUCGCUUUACUUUAUCACUAAGCGGUAGCGAUAGUCGUGAAAGCAAUAUUUGGCGAGGCGACAACGAUGCUACGAUGGAGAUCAAGGUGUCACACCGGUGAUGAUGGUGAUCAUGACAGUGCUUUGGAGAUGGAGAUCAAAGGCACAAGAUGAUGAUGGCCAUAUCAUAUCACUUAUAUUGAUUGCAUGUGAUGUUUAUCCUUUAUGCAUCUUAUUCUGCUUGAUUGACGGUAGCAUUAUAAGAUGAUCUCUCACUAAAUUUCAAGGUACAAGUGUUCUCCCUGAGUAUGCAUCGUUUCCAAAGUUCGUCGUGCCGAGACACCACGUGAUGAUCGGGUAUGAUAAGCUCCACGUUCAUAUACAACGGGUGCAAGACAGUUUUGCACACGCAGAAAUACUCGAGUUAAACUUGACGAGCCUAGAAUAUGCAGAUAUGGCCUCGAAACACUGAGACCGAAAGGUCGAGCGUGAAUCAUAUAGUAGAUAUAAUCAACAUAGUGAUGUUCACCAUUGAAAACUACUCCAUCUCACGUGAUGAUCGGACAUGGUUUAGUUGAUAUGGAUCACGUGAUCACUUAGAUGAUUAGAGGGAUGUCUAUCUAAGUGGGAGUUCUUAAGUAAUAUGAUUAAUUGAACUUAAAUUUAUCAUGAACUUAGUCCUGAUAGUAUUUUCAUAUCUAUGUUGUAGAUCAAUAGCUCGCGAUGUAGCUCCCUGUUUAUUUUUAAUAUGUUCCUAGAGAAAAACUAAGUUGAAAGAUGUUAGUAGCAAUGAUGCGGAUUGGAUCUGUGAUUUGAGGAUUAUCCUCAUUGCUGCACAGAAAAAUUAUGUCCUUGAUGCGCCACUAGGUGACAGACCUAUUGGAGGAGCAUAUGCACACGUUAUGAACGUUUGACAAAGCUCGGUAUGAUGACUACUUGAUAGUUUAGUGCGCCAUGCUUUAUGGCUUAGAACCGGGACUUCAAAAAUGUUUUGAAUGCCAUGGAGCAUAUAAGAUGUUCCAAGAGCUGAAAUUGGUAUUUGAGACUCAUGCCCGAGUCGAGAGGUAUGAGACCUCUGACAAGUACUUUGCCUACAAGAUGGAGGAGAAUAGCUCAGCUAGUGAGCAUGUGCUUAGAAUGUCUGAGCACUACAAUCACUUGAAUCAAGUGGGAGUUAAUCUUCUAGAUAAGAUAGUGAUUAACAAAGUUCUCUAGUCACUAUCACCAAGUUACUAGAACUUCGUGAUGAACUAUAAUAUGCAAGGGAUAACGGAAA
rnacentral:lncRNA from 1 species